UUCUUGAUUGUCAAUCAGAAAAUGAAAUGGUGAAUUAAAUUUUUCACACCCCCCCUCCCCACAUCCUUCUUCAGCAGACUCCAACACAACUUUCUUACCCUUUUUAUCUUCUCUUUUCCUGCUCAGAGUUUCUUCUGCUUCAUCAUAUUACUGAUUUGUGGUAUAGAAAAAAAAAUAAGAUGGAGGAUUCAAUGCUGGGUCAAUUUUGGUGCUAUAUGUGUUCUCAAAUGGUGAAUCUGGUUAGAGACUCUGAGAUGAAAUGUCCGUUUUGUGAGAAUGGGUUUUUGGAAGAAAUAAGCAGCACAGAAGAAGCUAGUAACAGUGAUAAUGAUUUACAAUCAACCAGUGAAAAUGCUGUAUUUCUCUUGGCUCCUAUAUUACUUGGUUUAGUAGGUGGUUUAGACUCUCUGAAUCUGCGUAUCAUGGAUCAGGAAAGCACUUAUAGCAGAUCUCAUAAUGAAGAGAUGGAGAUGAGACACGAAUCCUUAGUUAGGAGGAGAAUACGAAGAAGUGCCCCUAAUGUUCUUCACAUGCUUCAAGAUGAUCGUUCUCGGAUGCCUUCUGAAUCAGAAAGUUCGCAUAAUGACAGGGAAAGGAGUGAUCAGAAUUCGGUUACUGACGAGGCCUUGGAUUUUCCAGGUUUAAUUUCUUUGAACCAAGACCGUAACCCAAAUCAAAAUGAAGCCAACUCUUUCAGGGACUAUCUUACAGGACGUGGUUUUGAUUUGUUGUUACAGCAUUUGGCUGAGAAUGAUCUUUACCCAUAUGGAAACCUCCCAGCACAGAAAGUAGCGGUUAAAGCAAUGCCAACAGUAACUAUUGAGGAGAAUAUGCAGUGUUCAGUUUGUUUGGAGGAUCUCGAGAUAGGAGGUGAAGCAAAGGAGAUGCCAUGUGCACAUAAGUUUCACCCUAGUUGUAUUCUUCUAUGGCUGGAACUUCAUAAUUCUUGCCCAAUUUGCAGGUUUCAAUUACCUUCAGACGGUUCUUAGAAUGAAACAAGAGGGUGUAAGUACUAAAGAGAGUAGAUUUAACGAUGCUCGUAAUUUUAGAGGAGAUGAAGAAAUAGGUAAUUGAAGCUGAAAGAAGGGACUGGACUUCUAUUAUGUGUAAUUUCUAUACUUUGUUUUCUUCUCAUCUCCUCAGAUUACUCUCUACUUCAUCACUCUCUUCCAAACCCAUGCCUGGAAGUGAAUCUCAAGCAGAUUGAGAAUUGAAAACAGAUUCACUGUUGAUACGGUACAACAACAGAACUUCGUCGCCUGUCUUGCAAAGUCCCUUUUCCUUUGCUUGUUCAAGGCCACAUUUAAUGGCUUCUUC